rnacentral:rRNA from 1 species
UACGGAGGAUCCAAGCGUUAUCCGGAUUUAUUGGGUUUAAAGGGUGCGUAGGCGGCCUGUUAAGUCAGGGGUGAAAGACGGUAGCUCAACUAUCGCAGUGCCCUUGAUACUGAUGGGCUUGAAUUGACUGGAGGUAGGCGGAAUGUGACAAGUAGCGGUGAAAUGCAUAGAUAUGUCACAGAACACCGAUUGCGAAGGCAGCUUACUAUGGUCUUAUUGACGCUGAGGCACGAAAGCGUGGGGAUCAAACAGG